rnacentral:rRNA from 1 species
GAACUCUGACCAGCCAUGCCGCGUGCAGGAUGACGGCCCUCGGGUUGUAAACUGCUUUUAUUGGGAAAUAAACCUACUUACCUGAAGUCGCUUGAAUGUACCGCAGGAAUAAGGAACGGCUAACUCCGUGCCAGCAGCCGCGGUAAUACGGAGGAUCCAAGCGUUAUCCGGAUUUAUUGGGUUUAAAGGGUGCGUAGGCGGACUGUUAAGUCAGGGGUGAAAGACGAUAGCUCAACUAUCAGAGUGCCCUUGAUACUGAAGAGCUUGAAUGAACUAGAGGUAGGGGAAAUGUGACAAGUAGCGGUGAAAUGCAUAGAUAUGUCACAGAACACCGAUUGCGAAGGCAGCUUACUAUGCUUUAAUUGACGCUGAGGCACGAAAGCGUGGGGAUCAAACAGGAUUAGAUACCCUGGUAGUCCACGCCCUAAACGAUGAAUACUCGCUGUUGGCGAUACACAGUUAGCGGCUAAGCGAAAGCGUUAAGUAUUCCACCUGGAGAGUACGGUGACAAGAUUGAAACUCAAAGGACUUGACGGUUGUCGGG